UACGAAGGGGGCUAGCGUUGCUCGGAAUCACUGGGCGUAAAGAGUGCGUAGGCGGGUUUUUAAGUCAGGGGUGAAAUCCUGGAGCUCAACUCCAGAACUGCCUUUGAUACUGAAGAUCUUGAGUUCGGGAGAGGUGAGUGGAACUGCGAGUGUAGAGGUGAAAUUCGUAGAUAUUCGCAAGAACACCAGUGGCGAAGGCGGCUCACUGGCCCGAUACUGACGCUGAGGCACGAAAGCGUGGGGAGCAAACAGG
rnacentral:rRNA from 1 species